GACGAACGCUGGCGGCGUGCUUAACACAUGCAAGUCGAGCGGUAAGGCCUUUUCGGGGGUACACGAGCGGCGAACGGGUGAGUAACACGUGGGUGACCUGCCCUUAGCUCUGGGAUGAGCCUGGGAAACUGGGUCUAAUACCGGAUAUGACUCCAUGACGCAUGUUGUGGGGUGGAAAGCCUUGUGCGGCUAGGGAUGGGCCCGCGGCCUAUCAGCUUGUUGGUGGGGUGANGGCCUACCAAGGCGACGACGGGUAGCCGGCCUGAGAGGGCGACCGGCCACACUGGGACUGAGACACGGCCCAGACUCCUACGGGAGGCAGCAGUGGGGAAUCUUGCGCAAUGGGCGAAAGCCUGACGCAGCGACGCCGCGUGGGGAUGACGG
rnacentral:rRNA from 1 species